GCCGGACACGUUCCGGCACUGUAAUGCAGCCGCCUACGGGCGCAGGUCCGAAGCCCUGGAAAAUGCAGACGGCAGA
rnacentral:ribozyme from 1 species